rnacentral:rRNA from 1 species
GAUGAACGCUGUCUACAGGCUUAACACAUGCAAGUCGAGGGGAGACGACGGGGAAGCUUGCUUCCCCGGGCGUCGACCGGCGCACGGGUGAGUAACGCGUAUCCAACCUGCCUCUGACUGAGGGAUAACCCGUCGAAAGUCGGCCUAAUACCUCAUGGCAUCGUCUGCGGGCAUCCAACGACGAUUAAAGAUUUCAUCGGUCAGGGAUGGGGAUGCGUCUGAUUAGCUUGUUGGCGGGGUAACGGCCCACCAAGGUUACGAUCAGUAGGGGUUCUGAGAGGAAGGUCCCCCACAUUGGAACUGAGACACGGUCCAAACUCCUACGGGAGGCAGCAGUGAGGAAUAUUGGUCAAUGGGCGGGAGCCUGAACCAGCCAAGUAGCGUGCAGGAUGACGGCCCUAUGGGUUGUAAACUGCUUUUAUGCGGGGAUAAAGUGAGGGACGUGUCCUUCAUUGCAGGUACCGCAUGAAUAAGGACCGGCUAAUUCCGUG